rnacentral:rRNA from 1 species
CGGUAGAGAGAAGCUUGCUUCUCUUGAGAGCGGCGGACGGGUGAGUAAUGCCUAGGAAUCUGCCUGGUAGUGGGGGAUAACGUUCGGAAACGGACGCUAAUACCGCAUACGUCCUACGGGAGAAAGCAGGGGACCUUCGGGCCUUGCGCUAUCAGAUGAGCCUAGGUCGGAUUAGCUAGUUGGUGGGGUAAUGGCUCACCAAGGCGACGAUCCGUAACUGGUCUGAGAGGAUGAUCAGUCACACUGGAACUGAGACACGGUCCAGACUCCUACGGGAGGCAGCAGUGGGGAAUAUUGGACAAUGGGCGAAAGCCUGAUCCAGCCAUGCCGCGUGUGUGAAGAAGGUCUUCGGAUUGUAAAGCACUUUAAGUUGGGAGGAAGGGUUGUAGAUUAAUACUCUGCAAUUUUGACGUUACCGACAGAAUAAGC